rnacentral:lncRNA from 1 species
UAAAAUUGAUUUCAUUUGAAAAAAAUGGAGAAGAAGGCGAUUAGAAGAUCACAGCUCUCCCUCUCAAUAACUUUUUAAUUAAACAAGGAUCUGACAAUUACCUAUCAUUUUCACAUCUCCAUUGUUCUCACUUCUCAAUUCCCCGAAGGUGAUUAUCUCACUUCUUCAUUGUUCGAUCUCUCAAUUUUGCUGUUGAUUUCUUUAUUUUUUUUCAAACUAAUUAAGAUUAGAUUCAAGUUAGUUUUGGAUUAGUUUAUGAUUUCCAUCAGCUGAUGCAUUUUAGGGUUCUAAUCAGAGAUCUCUUCACGUUGCCCAACAGACACAUCGAACGAUCCAAAUUCAAACAGGUCAUUAAAAUAGCCGAUCAAGGUCCAAUUUUCAUGUAAUUUCAAAAGCAUCAAUUUACUUAUUUUGAGUCUCUUUCUGAUUUCAAUGCAGUCUUCAAGCUGUUUGUUGAAAUGCCUGAUAGAAAAAGGAAUGUUAUUUAAAUACAGUUGGGGCUUAGUCAGUAGAUAUUAAACUAUCAGGUUCAUGGAGACUAUAAUCCUAGUGUAUAAUUACAACUUGGCAGCAUCAUUUUUGUAUUUAUUUAAUUUUCUUUUUUCAGAAACAAUAUUGAUUAUUCCAUUUCGUUGAUCAUGAAUCAUGUGAAUUAAUUAUCAAUCCAUGCAUGUUUAUCAUCUCGUGUUAUUAAUUAAUAGUAUGGCAUAAUUAAAGCAAAAAGGAUAUGACAUAGCAUAAGCUGAUUAAGAUGACUCGAGAAUCAAGAGCGGCAGCUCAUUCUUGAUUUUUAGAAACUAAUUAAGAAUCAAAUCCAGUAGGGAAGAAUAAGAGAAUAACAACCAAAAGAAAAAAAUAUUGAAUCAGAGAGCAGGCCUAGCUACUACUCCCUUUUUAGUUUGUAUUUUGCUCGUUAUUGAAUUUAAUUUUACAUAGCAUGUGCUGCCACUGUUUAUUUGCUUUCAUGGUAACACCUAUAUGUAAUAUAAAACCUCUGAAAAACUUUCCUUUCAAGUAUACAGAGACUGUGGAGGUACACAGGGACUGUGGACUUUCAAGCUUUGUCCAAUUUUUGUUUUCCUUGUUGAAUUUCUUAGUUGAUAUAUGGGGACUAUGGACUCUGCCAUCAAAUUGAAGAGUAAAGUAGCACAUGCUGCAGCUGCUGGAGAAUUUAAUAACAAUGUUCCUUAUCUGAGUGCACAAUGUGGCUGAAAUUAAGGUAACUAACAUAUUAUUUUCUGUUUGGAUUCUAAUUACUGAAUUUAUUUGAGUGUACAUUCAAAACCAUGCAUGCUGAGUGUUGGAUUAUCAGGAAAAUACUACUACUAUGCUUAAAUUAUAUUUUCUUUUUCUUUUUUUUUGGGUUAAUUUAUAUGCAUAUAUAAUUUGACAGCUGAUGAGUUUUCAGUUGAGCUAGCUGAAGGGCUUGCUUUUAAUUUGUUGCUGUUCAUGAUGAUGAAUCCAAGCUCUUUAUGGUCGUUUUACUCUCUUUCACAGUUUGUGAACAAUUUAUAGUUGGCGAUGGUUGAUUCCUCAAGUAGCAAUUAUUUCAUGCUCAUUGUGUGGCAUUCUUCAUUGUAUUAUAGUUUCUGGAGAAAGAAGUGACGAGGUUGAAAAGAAUAGUGAAGCUUGUACUUGGAAACUCAAGUGCACAAGAAUCAUCUCUUAUGUUACAGAUUGUUAAUUUUCAUUUACUUUCAAGCCUUUUUUUUAAUUUUGUUUUUCACUUUCUAAUUAUAGAAACUAACCAUAACAGGGUUUUGUAACUGAUAGACCAGAUUAUCACAAGCACAUAAAUCUUCUAAUGGCAGUGUUGCAUUUUUCGGCCUCUCUAAACUUGUAUAAGGACUAAUGUCUAAAUUUAGAAUCCAACUCCUGCUGUUGACUU